CCCGGGCCUUGUACACACCGCCCGUCACACCACGAAAGUCGGUAACACCCGAAGCCCAGUGGCCUAACCCGCAAGGGAGGAGCUGUCGAAGGUGGGAUCGGCGAUUGGGGUG
rnacentral:rRNA from 1 species